UACGUAGGGGGCAAGCGUUGUCCGGAAUUAUUGGGCGUAAAGAGCGUGUAGGCGGUCCGGUAAGUCGGCUGUGAAAGUCCAGGGCUCAACCCUGGGAUGCCGGUCGAUACCGCCGGACUAGAGUUCGGAAGAGGCGAGUGGAAUUCCCGGUGUAGCGGUGAAAUGCGCAGAUAUCGGGAGGAACACCUAUGGCGAAGGCAGCUCGCUGGGACGUUACUGACGCUGAGACGCGAAAGCGUGGGGAGCAAACAGG
rnacentral:rRNA from 1 species